rnacentral:rRNA from 1 species
CCCUUAGAUGUUCUGGGCCGCACGCGCGCUACACUGACGAAGUCAGCGAGCAUGUCCUACGCCGACAGGUGCGGGGAAUCUUGUCAAACUUCGUCGUGAUGGGGAUUGAUUAUUGAAAUUCUUGAUCAUCAACGAGGAAUUCCUAGUAAGCGCAAGUCAGCAGCUUGCGUUGCUUACGUCCCUGCCCUUUGUACACACCGCCCGUCGCUACUACCGAUUGAAUGGUUUAGUGAGAUCUUCGGAUUGGCGCCACUGCGGCUCAGCAAUGGGCUCGGUGGAUGCCGAAAAGUUGAUCAAACUUGAUCAUUUAGAGGAAGUAAAAGUCGUAACA